AAGCAUGAACUUCCAGGAAUCAUUUCUGUAUUUACUAAUUUGAGAAAUGUAAAAUUUUAGACUUGACAUUAUCCUCUGAGCAUGAAACUGGCAAGAGUUAAUGAAUCUGUUCAUAAGACUCCUGCUAUUGAUAAUUGUUAUUUGCUUCUUCUUGAAGCCAUGAGGGGGAGAAUGAGAUCAGA
rnacentral:snoRNA from 1 species